rnacentral:rRNA from 1 species
GACGAACGCUGGCGGCGUGCCUAAUACAUGCAAGUUGAGCGCUGAAGGUUGGUACUUGUACCAACUGGAUGAGCAGCGAACGGGUGAGUAACGCGUGGGGAAUCUGCCUUUGAGCGGGGGACAACAUUUGGAAACGAAUGCUAAUACCGCAUAAAAACUUUAAACACAAGUUUUAAGUUUGAAAGAUGCAAUUGCAUCACUCAAAGAUGAUCCCGCGUUGUAUUAGCUAGUUGGUGAGGUAAAGGCUCACCAAGGCGAUGAUACAUAGCCGACCUGAGAGGGUGAUCGGCCACAUUGGGACUGAGACACGGCCCAAACUCCUACGGGAGGCAGCAGUAGGGAAUCUUCGGCAAUGGACGGAAGUCUGACCGAGCAACGCCGCGUGAGUGAAGAAGGUUGUCGGAUCGUAAAACUCUGUUGGUAGAGAAGAACGUUGGUGAGAGUGGAAAGCUCAUCAAGUGACGGUAACUACCCAGAAAGGGACGGCUAACUACGUG